AUUGAACGCUGGCGGCAGGCCUAACACAUGCAAGUCGAGCGGAUGACGGGAGCUUGCUCCUUGAUUCAGCGGCGGACAGGUGAGUAAUGCCUAGGAAUCUGCCUGGUAGUGGGGGACAACGUUUCGAAAGGAACGCUAAUACCGCAUACGUCCUACGGGAGAAAGCAGGGGACCUUCGGGCCUUGCGCUAUCAGAUGAGCCUAGGUCAGAUUAGCUAGUUGGUGAGGUAAUGGCUCACCAAGGCGACGAUCCGUAACUGGUCUGAGAGGAUGAUCAGUCACACUGGAACUGAGACACGGUCCAGACUCCUACGGGAGGCAGCAGUGGGGAAUAUUGGACAAUGGGCGAAAGCCUGAUCCAGCCAUGCCGCGUGUGUGAAGAAGGUCUUCGGAUUGUAAAGCACUUUAAGUUGGGAGGAAGGGCAGUAAGUUAAUACCUUGCUGUUUUGACGUUACCGACAGAAUAAGCACCGGCUAACUCUGUGCCAGCCGCCGCCGUAAGAC
rnacentral:rRNA from 1 species